CCAGCAGCAUCAUCAUCGGGGCUUGCUUUGUUGGGGGCAGCGCGUGCCAUGCGCAAGUUUGUCCAUUCUCAGUCUCACUCCCUCGCAACACAUUUCUAUUCAGUUCCAAUUCAAUGCAAUAAUUCAAUUCUGGCCAAGUGCUCUCUGCUCUGCUUCGCACUACUGCACUGCCCUGCUGCCAUGGAGUAGAGUAGCGUUGCUUACACUACUUCUCCAUCAUCAGCAUCUGCAUCAUCCUCUCGCUUCCUGACCCUACCCUACCCUCAUUAUCGCCUUUUUCACUCUCAGAUCCACACGCAUCAGUUACAAUCUCAUCUCUCUCUCUCUCUCUCUCUCUCUCUCUCACACACACACACACAACAGCAACAACAACAGUAAGUGUUCUUGAUGCUGUUUUAGUGGGGUCGACGCGAAGCUUUAUCGUCGACGGAUGCGGCAACGGUGCUGCACGGCGAAUUGGGGUGUGUUUUUCAGUAGAUGGAAGCUUGAUCGAGUGGAAGUAAGCGAUUUGACCACCGGCGACGGGUAGAGUUUCAGGCGGUGUCGCAGAAUUGCAGGAAGGGUUGGUUGUGGACUUUUAGGGUGCAUCGCAGACGUGGUUUAGACGUUGGGUGUCGAUUGCGAGGUCGUUGUUGAGAGAGUCUGAAGAGUUAAGCGUAGCCUGAUGGAGGUGAUGACGCUGGUGUUUUUCGCGGGCGGCUUUUUUGGGCAGCUUAGUAUUGUCGUGAUCCGUUUACGUGCCAUUCUCAAAUUCACGUCUCAGCUUCUCACUUGUGUGAACGUUCCUCCCCGCUUACUUGUUUAGGUAUGUACUUGCGUAUUGAGGUAGUGUAGCAAGGACCAUGCCUCAUUUGUUGAGGAAGAAUUUCGAUGAAAACUUUUUAAGUGGAAGAAUUAGAAGAGGCAGAAGAAAUGGAGGUGAGACUUUCGAAGAAGCGGAAGAAGGGGAACUGGAUGGAAGUGUGGUUUGGGCUGAGAAGCCCAAAACUGGUGAUCAAGAGAUGAUUUGGAAUGCGAAAGGUCUUGAUGCUAAAACGACUGUGAAAUUUGAAAAGUACUCAAUUUUCAAGGAUCUGGUUUAUUAUGCCUUUUAUCUACUUUCAAUUCCCUUCAUAGUGUGGAUAGGUGGAGGAGUAUAUGCGCCUACUGGUCGUUUUUUGGUACCUUCAAAGGUCUCACUUAGUAGUCUAGUGUUUGCUCAACUUGCCUUGGGCUGCUGUUACUACGCUUUCAAUGGAGUAAGCUUGUUCGCCCCUGUGAGAGGAAAUAAUCUCGAAUUUCAAUACAAUAUUGUAUUAUUGAACAUAAUAUGGAUUACGCGCUAUGUGUUGCAGACCCAGUUUGACCACUUGCCUAUCACUUGAGUAUCUUCAGAAAUUAGAAGGAUUUGAACGUCGUGGAGGAACCCAACAGAUGGUUGGAGAGGGAUAGCUGUCUCGACACGAUGACAACGAAAACGGAAGUUAAAGAUCUGCGACUGGGCAGCUUACCUCUCCGCUCAUAUGCAGCUCAUGUAAUCUGACAAUCUUCCAGUUUGAGCAGAGCAAGCGUGGUGGUGUGUUUGGAUGCUGUGCUUACCCGCAUUGUGUGGCCUGGCGGUGAUAUUAGUACAGUGCGCCGAGUGGGGAGUGCGACACUCGCUCAGGGCAAGACAAGCUGAUUGCACUAUUAAUUAUUGUCAGCUCUUGGAUCAAAUGUUUUCGUUCUCUGCACAUAGUAACUUGUGUUUUGUGUACUUGAUGUCAGCCAGCAUGUGGAAAAUUACUUGGAGUUGGAAGUAGCAUAUAAUUAUAUCCGUCUAGAUGCAAGGUCUUCUGUGUAUUUCCUCUUAAAUUAAAGAAUUUCGUUCACCUUCUGAAGAA